AUGGCAGAAGCCAGCAGGGAGGCCACAGGCGCAGCGCCUCAACCUCUCCACGUCGUGGUGUUCCCAUGGCUAGCGUUCGGCCAUUUCGUCCCCUUCCUCGAGCUCUCCGAGCAGCUCGCCAGGCGCGGGCAUGCCGUCACCUUCGUCUCCACGCCGAGGAACGUCGCCAGGCUGAGGCUCGUCAGCCCCCGCAUCCGCCUCCUCCCCCUGCUCCUGCCGAGCGUCGACGGCCUGCCGGACGGCGCCGAGUCCACGGCCGACGUCCCGCCAGAGAAGGUGGACCUCCUCAAGGUGGCGUUCGACGGCCUCGCCGCCCCUUUCGCCGGCUUUCUUGACGAGGCUUGCGCCGGCGGGGACGGUGCGACGGAGUUCGGCAGGAGGCCCGACUGGAUCUUCGUCGACUUCGCACACUACUGGCUCCCGCCCAUCGCUGAGCAGCACAAGGUGCCGUGCGCCUUGUUCCACAUCUGCCCGGCGCCGUUCAUGGCCUUCAUCGGCCCCAAGGCGGCGAACGACGCGCACCCGCGGACGACGGCGGAGGACCUGAUGGCGCAGCCGCGGUGGAUCCCGUUCCCGACCACCAUCGCCCACCGCCUCCACGAGGCCAGGGACAUGCUGGUCCAGACGUUCCGCGCCAACGCGUCCGGCCCGUCCGACGCCUGCCGGCUCUGGCAGACGGAGCAGCGCUGCCCGCUCGUGAUCCUGCGCGGCAGCCGCGAGGUCGACGGCCCGCUCGGGCCCUUCCUGGCCGACCUCUUCAGCAAGCCCGUCGCCCUCUGCGGCCUCCUCGCCCCAUACGACGCCGCGCUCGCCGCCCAAGAAGGAGCCGACCAUGUCGACGACGAGAGCGAGAGCGCGAGCCUCAUGCGCUGGCUGGACGAGCAGCCGGCGAGGUCCGUCAUCUACGUCGCGUUCGGGAGCGAGGCGCCGCUGACCGGCCACCACGUCCGCGAGCUGGCGCUAGGGCUGGAGCUCGCGGGCGCGCGGUUCCUCUGGGCGCUGCGGGGGCCGAGCGCCGCGCUGCUCCCAGACGGAUUCGAGGAGCGCGUGGCCGUGUCCGGGCGCGGCGUGGUGCGCGUGGGGUGGGUGCCGCAGGUGCGCAUCCUGGCGCACGGCGCGGUGGGCUGA
rnacentral:rRNA from 1 species